rnacentral:rRNA from 1 species
AUGGGCGCAGCUGAUCCAGCCAUGCCGCGUGGAUGAUGAAGGCCCUAGGGUUGUAAAAUCCUUUCGUCGGGGACGAUAAUGACGGUACCCGAAGAAGAAGCUCCGGCUAACUUCGUGCCAGCAGCCGCGGUAAUACGAAGGGGGCUAGCGUUGUUCGGAUUUACUGGGCGUAAAGCGCGUGUAGGCGGGCUUGCAAGUUGGGGGUGAAAUCCCGAGGCUCAACCUCGGAACUG